ensembl:lncRNA
CUAGUUUCUGCUCAGAUUUAUUGAGUUCUCAGGUUUGAACAGAGACUUCAUGCUGACAGAUCAGAAUAUCAACAAUAAAUCCAAACCAAACGCAACUUUUCACACAAGUAAACCUGUUUCUGCUGUUUUUAUUCAAAUCAGAAGCUUGAGGACAUGAAGCGUUCUAACAGACUUUUAUUCCAACGUUCCUGAUCGAUGGAGUCAUUCGUCUCUUGGUGGCCGAUCCAGUCAUUAUGCUAACAUAAUUUAUCAGAUUCGAAGCUAGGGAGGACUUUUAAUGCCACAAACGCACCAGAAGCAUCCAUAAAUCACAUUUUUAAAAACUCUCUCCAAUAGUUUACUGCUUGGAGACAUGAUUUUACCGUUAGCAAACAAAUGUGGUGACAAAAUGUCAAUAAUUUGUGUUAAAUCUCCGGUUUAAACUGCAGAAUUACGCAACAAGCUGAGACUAUUCCACAUCCAGAGGACAUCUGGUACGUUUCUGGUUAAGAUCUACACAUUUACAGGGAAGGAAUAAGCUUUGUUGGAGGGUGUAAAGGCAACUAGCAAAAGAAUUAUGGCUUUUGAAAUGUAUUGCACACAUUUUGCUCAGUAAUUCAACACACAUAUAUUGCAGCUUCAAUAACACAGAAUAGACACACAGGAAGCCUUCAUCGUGAAAAAGCAUUAAUUAGACAUCUUAUUUUUAUCGUGUUCAUCAAAAAUGUCCCGCAAACAUUUAGUUCAGCUACGCUUUUGUUCAGGUUAGCUAGAAAUUUAGCUUAGAUGGCUAACGGUUUACUUUGAUGUCAUAAAACGCUCUUGUUUAAGUUUGCUAAUACAUUUAUAUAUUAAACAUAUCGGUUUGGAAUCUUCAACAUUUAGAAAAUUAGUUUCACUUAACUUUGUAAAUUUCUUAAAAGCCUAGCUAAAGUUUCUGUUUCACUGCUGAGCUUGUUGGGUCAGACAUAUUUGGGGUCAGCUAACAUUUCUGUUUAAUAGCUAAAAUAAUUCUGUGGUUAGCCAAGAUUUUUGCUAAAUAGCUAAAAACAAAUCUGGGGUUAGCUAACAUUGUUUGAUAGCCAAAACAAAGUUGGGGUUAGCUAAAGUUUGUAUUUUGAUGCAUUAAAAAUAUGGUUUAUCUAACAAUUUGGUUUGGAUUUUAUUAUUUCUACGUAACAUUAUAUUUAACAGAUUUUCUAGGCAACUUAAAGAAAAGAUUUUGAAACGCUAAUAUUUCAAUUAGCUCUUUUUUUUCUAUCCAGUGCUUCCUUCUCUGAAUCUUUUCUUAUGUUUUUGCUAUUUUUUUCACUUUUUAUAGAAGUUACAAAGUCCUCUGAUGUCUGGAGAUGAAUAAAUGCUAAUAUUCAUCUGGUGUGAUUUCUGUUUCCAGAUUAUAUUUACAGAAACUGAAUUGAUGACUUCAAAAAGAAAAGAUGCUCGGAAACACUAAACAUUUCACACAACACGGUUUAUGGUUUGGUUUUCUGUCAAGUUAAACACAAAAACAGUCCUUGUAGUUGUUUUUUCCUUGGCGAGGACUGUGAUCGGGAGAAAAAAGCAUUUUCUGGGCUAAAAGACGAAGCACCUCUUCUAUUAUUACUAUUACAGCAGAGUGCAAAGCCUCGAUUAUUGGUUAAAAAUCAAUAAAUUACACUCACACUGUAUCUAAACACAACCUCUUUUGUCUUUUGUGCUCAUUAUAAAUCUAAAAGAUUUAUAAUCUGAAAGAAAAUCGAGACGUGGAACUAAAAGAGGCACAUAAAUGUGACGACAGUUAUCAAACAAGAAAAGAAAAAUCACUGAGAAUGAAGAAUCUUCUUCUGUUUUCAUUUUAUUGCACCAUGUGGAUGUCCACCGCUAACUGUAAAGCCGAUCGUUUGGGUUCAACAAUAAAUCUUCCACGCACCGAAUAGCAAAAAUCUCAUUAAAGAAAAGAAAAAGCUUUGACAUAUGCAGAGAAACAUGCGAUGCGGGAACAUAUUUUACAGUUUUAACACACAGAGGCACCGACAGAAGCAACAGAUGAAACAAACAAACCAAAGUCUUCUGUGGAGGAAGUUGUGACGGUUUAUGAAUAAAGACAGAAAUGAAGGAAACGUGUUUCAGUUUUAAUUAGCAUCAUAGCAAUGGGAACGCUUCAUUAUCAGUAACAUUUACCUGUAUUAGUGUUCAUUUUAUGCCUUUGUGUGCAGUUUUGUGCAGUAAAAAAGAAAAAAGUCGUUUCCGAUUUCCAACUUGACAGAUAUUUUAACGCCGACAUAUAAAAGUGCAAUGAUUCAGGAAAUUCUUUAAAAACUGCUUUAAAAAUUUGCCUUGAAUGUCGAAUAACAAAAGAUACAAACUGGAGCCCCUAGCAUGCUAAUAUGUUAUGCAUCAAUGCUUGAUGAUAGCGCUAAAAUGCUAACGUAGCACAAUCUAUGGCAGUUAAAUAUAGUAGCAUGCUACUUUGUUAUGUGAUAGCUAACAUGUUAACACUGUAGCAAGAGCUAGGAGUGUAUUGCUAAAAUAGCAUAUAGCAUUGUUAAGCUAACUUUUUUAAUGCAUAGAGGGUUAUUUAAUAGUUAAAUAAUGAUUUUAACAAUUACUGCUUCUUUCCAGAUCUCUGUUUAACAACGAUAGCUGGUGAAAACCUCUUCGAGCAACAUGCUAACACUGUAGAAAGAGCUUUUAGCAAGUCCAAAAUAGUAUAUAGCAUUGGUCAAACAAUUUUGUGGCGCUGGUAAAUUAAUUCUUUUGUGCAUUUGUUCCAGAACUUUGAAACAAACGUUAGCUAGCUAAAAUGUUAGCUUUCGAAAGCCUCUACUUUUUCCUAUAAUGCUAACUUUUUAGGUCAAUUUUGGGGAGAGAAUAUCAAUAUAUUAUUGUGCUGCCUUGUUAUGUGAUAACAGCUACCAUGCUAAUGUUGUAACAAGAGCUUUUAGCGUGUCCAAAAUAGUAUAUAGCAUUGGUCAAACAAUUUUGUAGCACUGGUAAAGAAAGUCUUUUGUGCGUUUGUUCCAGAAUUUUCAUACAAACAUUAGCUAGCUAAAAUUUUGCUUUUAGCUAGCUAAAGCCUCCACUAUCAUGUCAACAUAAAAGCAUUAGCACCCUGUGUGGAGCUCUGAUGCUAACUUUUUAGCACAAUUUUAUGACAUCAAUAUACUAGCAUGUUACCUUUUAACUUUCUUUGUUCCAGAACUUUGACACAAACGUUAGCUAGCUAAAACCUUUGCUAGCAGUCUCCCAGCAUUAGCAGUUGGUCAAAUAUUGUAUGUUUACCAAGAAAAGUCAGUUUUUUAAGAAACAGCGGGAACCAUUUUUUUCCUUAAUUGUAUAACGUCUAAGAAAAACUAUCCUUCCUAAUGGACUCCCCAUUUCAUAAUGUCUUGUGUUAUGUUAUGCUACGUGUGCGUUAGCUUGCUAAACUGUUAGCCUCAAAGGCUUCUAGACGUGGAUAUUAAUGUCCAUUAACUGUUUUCCACUGCGUACCAAGUGUUUUGAGUGAAAGAAUUGCCCUGUAGAACCUCUUUUAAGGUCAUUUAUUAUUAUUAUUAUUUAUUAUUAUUAAUAUUAUUAUCAACACAACUCAUAAAUACAGACGACUCUGGUUGCUUUCGUACAUUUUUUACCAAUAAAGUGAUGCACUUGACGAGUUAAGUUGUUUGGAAGUAAAGUUUCAAACCACACGGAGACAUGAAGAAAACUUACAUCCAAACAUCUACAGGCACAGAAUACACAACAAAACAAAAACACCCAGCAAAGACAAACACACAUGUAGAAUUUGGUCGUUUCUUUCUGUCGAUACAUUCAUUAACAGGGAGAAGACAAACUGUUGUGACUUUAUUCAAGUGUGUCCUUCAUCCUGGUGUUUAAAAUGGAAGCAAAUAUGUUGUUAAAUUGACUCAAAAUGUAGAACUAAAUGACUUAAUUCAUUGGUUCACUGUUUCAUGAGUUAAAUAUGGAGUAAAACCACAUUUUGGUGGUAAGUUUUCCAGCCUUUUCCUUGGAGCGUUUCCGUUAAAGCCACUUAAUAUAAAACCACUCCAUCUUUUCAUUAUGUUAACAUUUAUAUUUAUAUAUAUAUUAUAUAUCAUAGUAAAUAAUAUCAAACUACUGAAAAGAAAAAGGGUCAUGAUACAUGAUCUUGUGAGGUUGUGCUUCUUAUUUAUCAGGACAUUUAUAGACAUUAAAACUGCCCUUCAUUGUUGAACUACAUAAUAGAAUAAAACACAACAGAAAAAAAGAAUCAAGCAGCUGAAGCUACACAACAGUAAUGCCAGGACGGACGUGAAGCCUUCAGUUGAGGACAUGUUUAGGAGUUUCUCAGAGGCAGAGCUGCUUCAAGUUCGAUGAAAUCACCUCCCUGAGCUGAUAAAACCAAAUUCCUUCAAAGUAGGCGUGGAACACAAACAGAUAAGAACCACCUGUGUCACUAUAACGCCACUGUUCAUUUAAAGCUCCGUAUAAACUCCCACAUAAGUCUUUGUCAUGGUGCCCCUUUACUAGCUAAACUCCCACAUAAGUCUUUGUCAUAGUGCCCGUUGCUAGCUAAACUCCCACAUAAGUCUUUGUCAUAGUGCCCGUUGCUAGCUAAACUCCCACAUAAGUCUUUGUCAUAGUGCCCGUUGCUAGCUAAACUCCCACAAAGUCUUUGUCAUGAUGCCCGUUGCUAGCUAAACUCCCACAUACAUCUUUGUCAUAGUGCUUGUUGCUAGCUAAACUCCCACAUACAUCUUUGUCAUGGUGCUCGUUGUUAGCUAAACUCCCACAUAAGUCUUUGUCAUGGUGCUCAUUGCUAGCUAAACUCCCACAAAGUCUUUGUCAUGAUGCCCGUUGCUAGCUAAACUCCCACAUAAGUCUUUGUCAUAGUGCCCGUUGCUAGCUAAACUCCCACAAAGUCUUUGUCAUGAUGCCCAUUGCUAGCUAAACUCCCACAUACAUCUUUGUCAUAGUGCUUGUUGCUAGCUAAACUCCCACAUACAUCUUUGUCAUGGUGCUCGUUGCUAGCUAAACUCCCACAUAAGUCUUUGUCAUGGUGCUCAUUGCUAGCUAAACUCCCACAUAAGUCUUUGUCAUGGUGCUCAUUGCUAGCUAAACUCCCACAUACAUCUUUGUCAUGGUGCUCGUUGCUAGCUAAACUCCCACACAAGUCUUUGUCAUGGUGCCCGUCGCUAGCAAAACUCCCACAAUGCACUCUGCUUUAACAUGAACUGUAGUCUCCUCUGGUCUCUACAGGAUUAAACAGGAAGAGGCUCCACCUGGUGGAAGAACCAGAUACUACAGGUAAUCUCAGAUACUUUAACCGUGUACUAUCUAGAAAAGUGGUAUCAGUUUAGCAGAUAUUAAAUACUAAAGGACUCAGAUUGGACCGAGAACACUUGAUUGGGACAUUAGCAAACUGUUGGCUAAAUUAGGUUAGCAAGUCUCCUGUGAACU